ACCCGCCAGCCCCGCGCUCUACCAGGCAGAGCGCGUGUGGCCGCCGAGCACAUGGACCCACUGGUCAAGCGGGCUCGGCAAGGCCAGGAUGAAGAGAAGCUACGAACUUAGCAUUCCCAGAGCCCCCCGAGUGGAUAUCCGCGUGGAAAGGAUGUUGGCAGCCCCGGUGACCUCGGAGUCACGGCUGGAUCCACCCUCUUGUCUGAUUUUCUUAACUCUACUACGGUAAGAAGAUGCCCUCCAUCAGCAGGCCGUGUCUGCUGGGACCUCUCUGGAGACUUCCUGAACCCUGUGGAUUUACAGUAAGAUGCAGUUUCCUGGGGAGUAAUUCUGGUGGAUACAAAUUCCGGAGUAUUACACCUGGCUUGCCUGGAGAUGUUACAAGUAGCUGGAUGGAUUCUUCAGCCUGGAUGCCCACUGAAAACAAGGACCGAAACUAAGAGGAUUGUAUCUCUACCCUUGACUCAAUGAGAAUGUUUGUUGUCAUCUCUCGGGCUACCUGGAGCUCCCUCUAAAAUUAUACCCUUUAAGCGUUCCAGAAGGAUUUUGAGAUCCUUUCCUAAAUCAAAGGUGGAAUAUUUGGGGAUUUGGAAAAUUGAGGUAAGUAAGGGCUGGUCUCAUUUCGAGCCUUUUGGAAACAAAAUUUAGCUUUGAGAAUGAAAAUUUAGCUUUAGUCUUUGUAGCAGGAUUUGGGGUACGUUUUAGUGUGUGUGUGUGUGUGUGUGUGUGUGUGUGUGUGUGUGUGUGUUUAAUAGGCUUUCUUGUGUUUAGGAAUCUGAUUUCCUAGUCAUCUAUAUCUUGGCUUUCUUUCUCAGCAUUUUUUUCCCCACUUGCUUGACUGUAAUGCUAACAUGCUCUCUCUGCUCCAACCUGGAGAAGCCAGUCUCUCAGAAGAACCAGUUGUGUUACUUUGCUGUGAGAUGCCUGCCCUAAGAGAGGAGCAGAAGGUCGGAACGGGUCCUCUAAUGUGAUAAUUAGAUGUGAAGCGUUGACUUAAGAGAUGCCAAGUAACUCAGCAGAUGUCACACAGACGAUAAAUAGCAAAGAUGGAAGUCUUCAUGCCGGAGGCAAUCCUAUAAGACAGCUGAGUUCUGCAGAGCUGGUAGGAGACAGACUUGCUCAGGUGAUAGAUCCAGCCAUGAUACUGACCCUAAGAGAAUGAGACGCUCUGCAGAAGACAGAAGAUUCCUGAAACUGGGAAAGGUGCCUAGAAAUCCUGAUAAGAGUGAAGAAGGGUACCUGGAGGCACAGCAGCCAUGUUGAACCUAUGAGGUGAUGAAAAACCAUGCAACUAGAAACCAGAAUGGAAGAAAAGAAGAAGCUGGAUCCUUGACUGAAUUGUCGAUGGGGGAUAGUCCAUCAUCCCAGGGCUAAGACCACCUCCAGAUUUCUUGUUUGGUGAAACAAGUCCUGAUUGUUUACAUUCCCUCGUGUUGAGCUGUCUCUUGCUUGUAGCUGAAAGCAUUUCUAAUAGAUAUUCAGAUUAUCAGCCUUAGCUCCAAGCUAGAAUACUCUAUGGGACCUUAGCUUCUCCAUGAAUUCCUUUGCUCAUCUGUGUAAUGCUCAAUAAAUGUAAAUUGAACCCUGAAUGAGGGACAAUGACACUA
rnacentral:lncRNA from 1 species